rfam:Triticum aestivum genome assembly, contig: Triticum_aestivum_CS42_TGACv1_scaffold_456952_5DS
AAGGUUGAUGAAGAGGAUGUCGUUUCUCACAUCCUCGCCGGGCUCGAUGAGGAGUUCAACCCGGUUGUGUCCGCUAUGUGUUCGCGGGUAGAGCCCGUCACUGCACCGGAGCUGACUCGUAGCUCCUAAGCUUCGAGC